UUGACCUCAAAUCGGGUGAGACUACCCGCUGAACUUAAGCAUAUCAAUAAGCGGA
rnacentral:rRNA from 1 species